GCUGGGCGCAGUGGCGCACGCCUAUAAUCCCAGCAAGCAGCUCAGGAGGCUGAGACAGGUGGAUCAUGAGUUCAAAACCAGCUUCAGCAAAAGUGAGGCUCUAAGCAACUCAGUGAGACCUUGUCUCUA
rnacentral:sRNA from 1 species